rnacentral:rRNA from 1 species
UUUGGAUAGAAUCCGAUUGUGACGGUACCUUACCAGAAAGCUACGGCUAACUACGUGCCAGCAGCCGCGGUAAUACGUAGGUAGCGAGCGUUAUCCGGAAUUAUUGGGCGUAAAGGGUGCGUAGGCGGCUUGUUAAGUUUAAGGUGAAAGAAUGGGGCUCAACCCCAUAAAGCCUUAGAUACUGGCAAGCUAGAGUACUGGAGAGGGUAGUGGAAUUCCAUGUGUAGCGGUAAAAUGCGUAGAUAUAUGGAGGAACACCGGUGGCGAAGGCGGCUACCUAGACAGAGACUGACGCUGAGGCACGAAAGCGUGGGGAGCAAAUAGGAUUAGAUACCCUAGUAGUCCACGCCGUAAACGAUGAAUGCUAGAUAUCGGGGCAACUCGGUGUCGAAACUAACGCGAUAAGCAUUCCGCCUGUGGAGUAUGCACGCAAGUGUGAAACAUAAAGGAAUUGACGGGGGCCCGCACAAGCGGUGGAGUAUGUGGUUUAAUUCGACGCAACGCGAAGAACCUUACCAGGCCUUGACAUCCCUUGCAAAACUCUAGAGAUAGAGCAGAGGUUAUCAAGGUGACAGGUGGUGCAUGGUUGUCGUCAGCUCGUGUCGUGAGAUGUUGGGUUAAGUCCCGCAACGAGCGCAACCCUUGUCUUCAGUUACCAUCAUUAAGUUGGGGACUCUGGAGAGACUGCCGGUGAUAAACCGGAGGAAGGUGGGGAUGACGUCAAAUCAUCAUGCCCCUUAUGGCCUGGGCUACACACGUACUACAAUGGCUGUUACAACGUGAAGCAACACUGUGAAGUGAAGCGAAUCACUAAAAGGCAGUCUCAGUUCGGAUUGAAGUCUGCAACUCGACUUCAUGAAGUUGGAAUCGCUAGUAAUCGCGGAUCAGCAUGCCGCGGUGAAUACGUUCUCGGGCCUUGUACACACCGCCCGUCAUACCAUGAGAGCUGGCAAUACCCGAAGCCGG